AGAAGAAGAGGAAGAAGAGGAAGAAAAU
rnacentral:sRNA from 1 species